rnacentral:rRNA from 1 species
UACGUAGAGGGCUAGCGUUGUCCGGAUUUAUUGGGCGUAAAGAGCGUGUAGGCGGCCAGGUAGGUCUGCUGUGAAAACUCGAGGCUCAACCUCGAGACGUCGGCGGAAACCAUCUGGCUAGAGUCCGGAAGAGGAGAGUGGAAUUCCUGGUGUAGCGGUGAAAUGCGCAGAUAUCAGGAAGAACACCAACGGCGAAGGCAGCUCGCUGGGACGGUACUGACGCUGAGACGCGAAAGCGUGGGGAGCGAACAGG